GUUCGCCUCCGUAAACGUGGAGAUACGUCCCGUCGAGAUGCAGUGGAAGCUGGAUUCGAACCGAGAGAUACUGUUCCACGAUGUCAUUCAACACAGUCGUUGAGAGAUGUUCAACGUGUUCGAUCAUACAACAAUUCACAGUUUCAGGUAAUAUAUUAAAUUUUAUUCCGAAGUUACUUCUUCUGGGUCCAAAAAAUAAUUAUUAACCAAAAAACAUUUAAAAAAAUGGUUUUGAUUUUGGGUCAAAGUACGAUAAAUUAAAAUUUUCAAAAAACCAAAAAAUGUAAUGGUUGAAUUUAUUUUUGUAAAACCAUGAAAAGUGCAAUUUGUCUCCGUUUUGUUUUGAGAUCUAAAAACAAAAAAAAAACAAUUUCUCACCGAAAUACUAACAAAAAAAAACAAAAAUCCGAAAAAAAAAUCCCAGCCCUGAUAUGUAUUUUACGGACACAUUUUGUUGAAAUGCAGUAAAUUCGAUGCGAAUCUCGAAAAAAAAUGUGGAUAUUGAUUUUUGAAAAUAAUUUUUCUGGCCUUAUUUAUCGCUGAUUCUGUUAUUUUCGAAUUCUUGUUGGACGGAAAGAUAUCUCGAGAGAUCAUGUGUUUACAGCAUUUUAACUAUGGGAUUUACGAAAAAAAAAACAAUUUUGAGCCAACUUCCUAUUUAUUUUUCAAGCAUUUCAAUUUAGAUUUGACCUUUCAAAUUUUUGCCGAAAUUUACUUCAAAAAAUAACCUAAUUGUUUUUUUCCUACGUUGUGAAUGAUGAGUAGCAAAACCCGUUAGAUGUCGGGCCAUGCGUAACGAGUCAUAGGAAUGCCGAUCAAAAACAUUCUCUCAUCGUUUUUUUUCUUUUUUAUUUCUAAAAAACCAAAAAUCUAUUUUUCAAAAAAUACCAAAACAAUCAAAAGAGAAUGUUUAAAAAUAAAUUUGUUCUUUUAUUUUGAAUCUUCAGCAAUUUUACAUUUAUCAAGUUCAAAAUUUUAUUUAUAAAACCCAAAAACUAUUUCCUAUUGUAUUGAUUUUUCAAAUAGAAGUAGUGAAUAUAUUUUUCUCCCAAUUCAUAAAAAUGUGAAGACUUGGAUAUUUGAUUCUGAAAAUUUAAUCUUUACAAUAAUUCGACAGUUUGUUGCUUGCUGAAUGUUUCCCGCCCUCUUGUUUUGAGUAAAAAAUAUAAAUUGAAUGUUCUCAGGCCAGUGAUCUUUCACUCAAUCCAAAUGGAAGUAUUCGUGCUGCUUGUGACAGUACAAGUGGAUCUGUCGCCCCAACAGCAGUUGUAAAUCCUGCCCGGAAUCAUGUCAUUUCACAUCGACAACAACAUCAUACAAGCUACGAGAAGGAUCUUAUUCCCCAUCAUAACAUUGAUGUGGAUCGUCGCCGUAGUUUGCAAGCUCUCAAUGGCUGUAAGUUUUCAUUUUUUAUAUCAAUUUGUUGUAGGAUACUGUGAGCGCCGACAGUUUAGUGAUAAAGUUGAGUUUUCUCUGAGUGGACGAAACGAAACGAAAUAGAAACAUUGAGCAAGACCACAGAUAGUGAGGAAAACUGGAGGUUUUGUGUGAAUCGCGACCACCGAUUGAAUUGAAUUGAAGUGAGCACACACACACACACCCAGCACACGUACAAACAUACAGACCCGUUGACGGCACACGUCCGUAUAUUUCCAUCUCUGUCGUUUUGGUGUGGUUUAUCAGCUUAUUUGACUAUCACCUAUUCUAGAGAAAGUGAGAAAAGAAAGAGUUUUGUUUGUGUGUUGAAAUUGAGUGAGUGAGGGUAUGCACUAGAUUUCAAGUACUCACUAUCUUCCUGCUCCUUCCAACUUCAUUUUCGUUUUACGUGUGGCUAUCACAAGUAACGGAGUGUCACGAUGCAAUCAAUUAGAGAACCGCGAAGUGUCGAGCUUAGAGAAAGCAAUAAAUUUAUGCGAUCAAUUUCACAUGGUCGUGCGAGUACCUGGCGACGAAAUCGAAUUAGACCGGACAAUCAGCUUUCAGCAUCUGCUCUCUAUCAACUAAAUAAUGGCGGUUCACCGAAUGGAGUGAGAUCUCAAUUUUCACCUUCGGAUCUUUCUAUCCAUACACCAGUUCAUCAUGUUGGAAGUCGAGUUCGAGUGUCCAGUGUCAACCAGAUUUGCGAUUCGAACAGUGCUCCACAAUUCAGUAUCGAGUGAGUUUUUUAUUUUUUGUUAAAAUUUAAAAUGAGUUCUCUAAUUUUAAAAUUUAAAAGAUAAAUUUCAUGUGACAUUUUUUGUGAUAAAAUGUAUAAUUUUUUGCGGCUCGCAUUACAUAAAAACCUGAGCUGAGACAAAACAAAUUGAACCAAAAAAUUAAUUCGGUUCGAAUGAUUUAAUUGAUUAAAAAAAAGAGCGAUUUCACUAAAAUUUAAAUAUUUCAAAAUUAAUUUAACCUUUAGAGAGGUGAAAAUUUUUGGUCUAAAAAGUGUUUUUUUUUUUAAUUUUUCGUUAAAAUAUUGAACAUUUUUUCUCAAAUUUUUUGCAGCACCCAAAAUUAUAUUUAGUCUGCUAAUUUCAAAAAAAAAACCCCGGUUAGGAUACUUCAUAUUUCUAGAAUGAAAAAUACUCGGUUAAAAUUUUUUCCAAAAAAUAAUGGGAUACGUUAUACUAAAACCAUAAAACCUGACUAUAACCCUUUUGUUUCAAAUAUCUCGUCGGUUUUUUUCAAUGAGUAUUGAGAAUCCGGUUUUACGAUUUUUUUCUACUUUUAUCCCAUUCUAUCGUCGUAGGCGGUGUCUCUUUUCACAACUAAACCUUUCGUCAGUUUGCUUUCUCAAGCAGUAAGAUUGAAUUGAAAGAAGGAAGGACUCGUCCGUCCAUAUGUUUCAACUAUCAAUCAAACUUCAUGACCCGAUUUUAAACCCCGGAUUCAAAUUCUUGAGCGAAUUUUCCUACUUGUUUCUCUAACUUUCCAUUCGCUGAGAAAUUAUUUUACCAUAUGACACUGACGCCUGCUCAUCGAGAAUCAUAUUUCAUCGUUUCUUUUAUGCUUUACAUAUAUUUUAUCCACGCCGAUGAGUCGAGAAAAUCCCGUAGUUUAUUGUUAUUUAUUGUUAGACGCUGCUCUUUUCUUUUAACUUUUUGAUUUGUUUUAGUAAGAAUGGAAAGUAAUCAAUUCAAUUGAAUAUAAACGUAGAGAUGUGCAAUGGAAAUUAGAUUUGGUCGGAACAUUAGGAGAAUUUAUGUGUCGGCGUUAGGAAUUGUCAAUGUAGUACAUGGUCCCUACGAAUCACUCAGUUCUUAAUGUUUUGUACACUUUUUCCAAAUACUUGUUUCAAAAACUUUGCAACGAACUUGGCACCUAUCACAUUUGAUAUUCAUUUCGUCGUUCCCUUGAGAUUUUUAACUUGUACUCAAAUAAAAUGUUUCUUGCUUUGUCACAUUGCACAAAUGUUGCAAAUGUCACACGAAUUUAUCGCAAGAAGAAGUGUCUGAGAACCAAGGAGUGCAUAUGUGAGAUAAUGGGUCAUUCUUCCCUCGGAGCACAGCUACAUCUAAUUGGGACUCUUCUUGUCCCCAUUAUUCAUAUAUCGUCUCGCCCUUCUCUAUCUGCCUGUGCCUUUUCCACUUUCGAUGAACCUCUUCGGACAUGAAGAGCAUCUUAUCCAACAGUGUCAAAAGCAUUAAUUCUUUGCUUUUCUUCACAAAUGAACGUUCACACUGUUCUUGUCAUUUUAAAUUGAAUCGAUUUGUUUGUUGUUAAGAUUCAUCUCGCGUCACUGAGAAUUGUAUUUGUUUUAUAUCCUGUCCGAUUUAUCUUUUCUGAAUUCAAUUAGAUCAAAUAUAUUAUGCACGCAAUCAGGCUCGCCAGUCGUUCUUGCAUCACUUUGCCUUUUUAUUGUUCGAGUUCCCCCUGUUCUACAUUCGGCAAUUUAUUUUGACAGUUUAUCAAUUAGUAUUCAUUCUUUAGAGAAUUCUCCCCAGUUUUCCAAUAUUUGAUAAAUUAUGAAAGCGGCUUUCGUAAGUAUGAGAAGAAUUGGUUCGUCUCCCGUUUGGGUUAGUAAAACGAAAUAAAAUGCGCAUAUUGCAUGCACACAUCCAAACGACGACAUUCAUCCGGAAAAGAGCGGCAUCACGACGGGAGAUAAAGAUGGCAAGUCGUAAAAGAAGGUGAUACUGUAAUGGUGAAUUGGUGACACCCACGAAUCUCUUCUGCCAUUUUUGUACUCUAAUGAAUCACAAAAGUAUCAUUACCGCCGUUUGUUUGCUAGAUUCGUCAUUCUUUCUGUUCUCUAGGUCUUCCCUCCGAAAUCUGAGUUCGUUUGAAUUGAGAAUUUCAAAAAAAAAGAAUCUUCAAAUUUUACGAUCAAAUAAUAUCUAAACUUAGGCAUUCCCACUUUGUUGGAAAAUGUUUAAUAAGCUUUUCUCAUAUUUCGUGCAAUUAUUAGUUUUUCUUCCAAUUUAUAUAAUUCUGAAACAUAUUUAAAACGUCCACACUUCAUUCAUGAGCCUUUUUUGAAAAUUAGAAAGAAAUGCCCUUAUGUACACAUCUAAAUCCCAGUUAAUUCAUGUGUGUACGCGCUCUUGCGUCUGCUGGCUCUAACCACCACCGCCAGCCGUCACGUUUUCGUCCAAAAUGAGCACGAGAAGAAGACACCCUGUCUUGUCCCAAAUUGGCUCCCAUCCGUUUCCCGUUCUCUGCCCCACGCAUCGAUUCACUUCCACUUUUUCUUCCUUGAGUUUUUGUCUUUAACGAUCAGACAGCUGACUGCUUGACAAUACAAAAAACUCUAGUGUAAGUGGUCAUUGUCAGUGGUCAUUUCCUCAUUUUUUCGUUCAUGUUUUGAGUUCUCUUCUUUUUUUCUCUACUGCUUCGCGAGCAUUUUUUACUUCGAGGUAUCAUUUCUCACUUACUUCCGUUGAACGGAUUUUCACAGCUUGGUGGGAAAGUGUAACAGUUGAAACGACAUUUUGAAUAAAAGAAAUGUAACCUUGAAUCUUACAAACUGUGCAGCCGACAAUGUUUUCGUUUCUUUCUUUUCUCUUGAUCACUUCUUUUUGGCAACCACUUUGAAUUCUUUUUGUUUCCGCAAUACUUUCAUGCUUUAGCCUAACUCAAAAUCAUUCUUUCAUUGAUUUUUCUAGAUAUUCAAUGAAGCUAUGUCAUUAGUGUCAGGAAAAACGGAGAGCUCGGCACGAUGGUCUAUACGGCCUUCGUGUUCAUGUAAUGAUUCUUUGUUCACAAUAUCUGACACUGAAUGUUCGGAAAUUGAAGCAGAUAUGCGACGCAAAGAUCGUCAUAAUUGGAAGAAAAGGUGCCUUUCAUAAUAAAAAAAAAAUUUUAAAAGUUUUUUUUUCAAUAGUUAAAUUUCAACUUUCAGUCAACGCCGCAGUGUUCACAACAUUGGAAAUCCGGUUCGAAAUUCGUUUGUGGAUGGAAUAAAAACUACAUCGACUCCAAAAAAUCAG
rnacentral:sRNA from 1 species